GCGAGACUCUGUCUCAAAAAAAAAAAGAAAGAAAAAAAAGAGUAAGCAGGAGUUCACAAGGUGUGGGAGACUGCUGUGUGUUCACCAAGCCUCAUCUUUCACACCUGGGCACAUGUUGUAGCCCGUUUGCAAAGAUAGCCGUAAUAUUCUCCUGUCCCUGGACAUGCCCUUUGCAAGUUGAUUUUGCCAUUCCUCCCAUUGAGAAGGCACUUUGUCCCCUACUAGUCUGGGUAAGCCUUGAGAGUUGCUUUGACCAAUAGAAUUUGCUAGAAGUGAUAUUGAGCCUAGGCCUGAAGAGGCCUUGUAGCUUCCACUCCUGCCCUAAGACUGUUGCAUGAAGAUACCCAGACUAGUGUCUUUGCAGAUGAACAAUCAUGGUGAAAGAGAAGCCCAGCCGGCAGCCAGCACCAAUCGCCAGCUGUGUGAGUGUGGCCAUCCUGGAUCAUCCAGCCCCAGCUGCCCCACCAGCUGACAGCAGCCACACAAGUGACCCCAGUUGAGACCAAUAAAAGAUCUGCCCAUCUGAUACAGCCCAAACUGCUGAACCCCAGAAUCAUGAACAAAUAAGUAAAAGAAAAGAACACUGGUUGUAUUUUAUGGUUGCACUAUGUCCAGCAGAAAAAGGCAUUCCUCAGUCUCCUUGCAGCAAGGUAAAGCCAUCUGAUAAAAUUUUGUCCAGUUGGAUAUAAGCCAAAAUGUUGCGUGACAAUUUUGGGAGGACUUCCUGAAACAGGUGGACAAACCCUUUUUCUACUGAGUCACCUUUGUGCCACCUGGAACUAACAGUGUGACGCGUGGAAUUUAGGCAGCCAUAUUGAACCAUGAGGACAAGAGCAGUGGGGAUGGCGGAACCAAGAGCUGGAAGGUGCCUGAGUCUCUGGUGAAGAUGUGGAGCUGCUGUAACAGCCCUCAACUCCUAGUUCUGGACUUCUUUUAUGUUUUAGUGUAACGCUUUGGGUAUUUUUAUUUUUUUAAUUUAUUUUAGAGAUGAGGUCUCACUAUGUUGCCUAGGCUGGACUCAAACUCUUAUGCUCAAGCAGUCCUCCUGCCUCAGCUUCAUGAGUAGCUGAAACUAUAGCACUUUGGGUAUUUCAGCCACUGUUUGAGGUUUUUCUAGCACCUCCUGGAAUAUCAAGCUUAACAUGUCCAAUCCUUGCCCCAGAUAUUUUCCUCCCCAAAUUUUCUCAAUCUCAAUAAAUGUCACCACCAUCCACCUGGUUGCUCAGGUCAAAAACCUAGAAAUCAUUCAAGUUCUCUCCCUUUCCCUCAUCCCCAAUAUCCAUUCCAUCAGCAACAUCUGUCCAUUCUACCUCCAAGACAUAUCCCAGAUCUCAUCACCUUUGUCUGCCUCUCCUACCCUCACUCUCAUCCAGCAUCAUCCCUCACCUGGACUCUGCAAAAGCCUACUCGUGGGUCUGUCUGCAUCCCUGUCUGCCUCCUCCAGGGCCAUUCUCCACCCAGUGGCCGGAUCGAUUUUUCAAAGAGGUUGAUCCCAGCUCAACCACUUGCCAUCUGUGUGACCUGUGGGCAAGUGACCUUACCUUUCGGAGCCUCAGUUGCCCCAUCUAUAAAAUGGGAAUGAUGCCAGUGCCUGCCUCAUAAGGAUGAGCCCCGCUCCUGAAGCUCAGGGAGCCCUCUCUGCAAGGCUGUUUUAGUGCAACCUCCGGAAACAUGCCCAUGCAUGUGAAAACUGGCAUGCACAUUCUGGUGCUUUUAAAAACAUCUCGAAGCCUAUCCACAGAUCCUGGACCUCAAGACUGGUUCAGUGCUAGCCCCCCAUUUUACAGAUGUGGAGAAUGAGGCUUAGCGGGUCCCAGGCAAGUCAGUGGCAAA
rnacentral:lncRNA from 1 species